GACGAACGCUGGCGGCGUGCUUAACACAUGCAAGUCGAACGGAAAGGCCCUGCUUUUGUGGGGUGCUCGAGUGGCGAACGGGUGAGUAACACGUGAGUAACCUGCCCUUGACUUUGGGAUAUCUUCAGGAAACUGGGGCUAAUACCGGAUAGGAGCUCCUGCUGCAUGGUGGGGGUUGGAAAGUUUCGGCGGUUGGGGAUGGACUCGCGGCUUAUCAGCUUGUUGGUGGGGUAGUGGCUUACCAAGGCUUUGACGGGUAGCCGGCCUGAGAGGGUGACCGGCCACAUUGGGACUGAGAUACGGCCCAGACUCCUACGGGAGGCAGCAGUGGGGAAUAUUGCACAAUGGGCGGAAGCCUGAUGCAGCAACGCCGCGUGCGGGAUGACGGCCUUCGGGUUGUAAACCGCUUUCGCCUGUGACGAAGCGUGAGUGACGGUAAUGGGUAAAGAAGCACCGGCUAACUACGUGCCAGCAGCCGCGGUGAUACGUAGGGUGCGAGCGUUGUCCGGAUUUAUUGGGCGUAAAGGGCUCGUAGGUGGUUGAUCGCGUCGGAAGUGUAAUCUUGGGGCUUAACCCUGAGCGUGCUUUCGAUACGGGUUGACUUGAGGAAGGUAGGGGAGAAUGGAAUUCCUGGUGGAGCGGUGGAAUGCGCAGAUAUCAGGAGGAACACCAGUGGCGAAGGCGGUUCCCUGGGCCUUUCCUGACGCUGAGGAGCGAAAGCGUGGGGAGCGAACAGGCUUAGAUACCCUGGUAGUCCACGCUGUAAACGGUGGGUACUAGGUGUGGGGUCCAUUCCACGGGUUCCGUGCCGUAGCUAACGCUUUAAGUACCCCGCCUGGGGAGUACGGCCGCAAGGCUAAAACUCAAAGGAAUUGACGGGGCCCCGCACAAGCGGCGGAGCAUGCGGAUUAAUUCGAUGCAACGCGUAGAACCUUACCUGGGUUUGACAUGGAUCGGGAGUGCUCAGAGAUGGGUGUGCCUCUUUUGGGGUCGGUUCACAGGUGGUGCAUGGCUGUCGUCAGCUCGUGUCGUGAGAUGUUGGGUUAAGUCCCGCAACGAGCGCAACCCUUGUUCACUGUUGCCAGCACGUUAUGGUGGGGACUCAGUGGAGACCGCCGGGGUCAACUCGGAGGAAGGUGGGGAUGACGUCAAGUCAUCAUGCCCCUUAUGUCCAGGGCUUCACGCAUGCUACAAUGGCUGGUACAGAGAGUGGCGAGCCUGUGAGGGUGAGCGAAUCUCGGAAAGCCGGUCUCAGUUCGGAUUGGGGUCUGCAACUCGACCUCAUGAAGUCGGAGUCGCUAGUAAUCGCAGAUCAGCAACGCUGCGGUGAAUACGUUCCCGGGGCU
rnacentral:rRNA from 1 species